rnacentral:rRNA from 1 species
CGAUCAUUAGUUGGAUGAAUGGAUGUUUUAUCGAGUCUAGGGCCUCAUCAACCCUGUGGACAUAGCUAGAAAGUUGCUUCGGCGGGAACAGACGGCCCCGUGAAACGGGCCGCCCCCGCCAGAGGACCCCCUAACUCUGUUGCUAUAUGUAUCUUCUGAGUAAACAAGCAAAUAAAUUAAAACUUUCAACAACGGAUCUCUUGGCUCUGGCAUCGAUGAAGAACGCAGCGAAAUGCGAUAAGUAAUGUGAAUUGCAGAAUUCAGUGAAUCAUCGAAUCUUUGAACGCACAUUGCGCCCGCCAGUAUUCUGGCGGGCAUGCCUGUUCGAGCGUCAUUACAACCCUCAGGCCCCCGGGCCUGGCGUUGGGGAUCGGCGAGGCGCCCCCCUGCGGGCACGCGCCGUCCCCCAAAUACAGUGGCGGUCCCGCCGCAGCUUCCAUUGCGUAGUAGCUAACACCUCGCAACUGGAGAGCGGCGCGGCCAUGCCGUAAAACACCCAACUUCUGAAUGUUGACCUCGAAUCAGGUAGGAAUACCCGCUGAACUUAAGCAUAUCAACUGGAAGUAGAAGUCGUAACAAGGCAUAACCAUUAGCGGAAGAUGUGGAAGGACAAGUCCUUACCAGGGCCGUGCAUACACCAAAGGAAUUUGGAAGUGAAAAUCCGAUCCAAGGACCUGCCUCC